rnacentral:lncRNA from 1 species
AAAGAAAGAAAGAAAGAAGAGAGGGAAGAAGGAGAAGGCCGACCGUCGCGGGCUCUUCUUCUUCUCCCGUCCGCAUGCCUCCUCCGCAGGAAGAAGGAGAGGGUCGGCCGUCACGGGCGCCGCCGGCCUCGACUUGGCUUCUCCCGAGCUCGCGACCUCCCUUCGCGGGAGAAGAAAGAAGAAGAAAGAAAGGGGGGGAAGGAGAAGAAGUCGGGAGGAGAGGAGGAGGAGAAAGAAAAAGAAA